AUCUGAUGUGAUGUGGACCCUCCACGGCCCGUCUGAGCUGAAGACCAGCAUGCUGAGACGGGCCUCGUCUAGUUUCUUCUACACGUUUGGGCAGACGUCAAGACUGGGAGAGUAGGAGCUGUUGGAGGGAAACCAUAUAGUUGUAGAAACUUGGGGAGAGGAUAGGAUAUUGAUAUUAGGAUAUUAGUAUAUUAGGAUAUUAGGAUAUUAGGAUAAUAGGAUAUUAGGUUAUUAUGAUACUAGGAUAUUAGGAUAUUAGGAGACUAGGACAUUAGGAUAUUAGGAUAUUAGGAUACUAGGAUAUUAGGAUAUUAGGAUAUUAGGAUACUAGGAUAUUAGGAUAUUAGGACAUUAGGACAUAAGGACAUUAGAACAUAUAGGACAAAAGGACAUUAGGACAUAAGGACAUUAGCACAUUAGGACAUCAGGAUAUUAGGAUGUUAGGAUAUUAGGAUAUUAGCUAUGAAAUAAAGUUUUUUAUUCCGUUUGAAACAUUGGAAAGCAGUCAUUCUUUAUCCGCGUCGGACACAUGGAAGAGUAUCUCCUUUAAUGUGAUGUGUGUGGUGAGAGUUCACAACAGGGUACUUAUUCCAUGCUGAUCAUACAUAUUCAUUACAAGGUACCUCCUAGCUAAUUCACAAACACCACUUUCCUAGAACUAAUUUGCAUGCAUUCGCCUUUUACUGGAAUUACUUUUUUGGUCCUGGAGGUCAUCUAAAGGGGUGUCUGGUGGUCAUAUUCACUGAAGGCUUCAGUAUUACUGGUGACCUUACUUUGAACUUUUUCUUUGGGCAUGCACUGUUGGUUUUAGUUAUGUAGCUCACAAAAAACCCCUCUCUAGUCCUCUGUCUGUUUCUCCACUGGUUCCAGCUACAUUUAUCCUCCUUUGUGCAUACCUUUACAUCCUUCUAUCUUUUUUCUAGUUAGUCCCAAAGCUUUAUUCAGCAACUUCAGGGGAACUGAAAAUUUCUAGUCUCUGUGUUAUUUUUCAAGUCUCCCCUUUUCUUGAGACUGUCUCUUUUAGACAAUCUCAAUACUUCAUUUUCCAGCACGAAGUGCUGCAACAACCAUAACAGUUUGUCCUGUGUCCAGGUUCAGACCUUAUCCACUCCCCUGCCCAGCUGGAUGCAUCCUGUGGGGAUGCCUUCAUCCAUGGUGGCUCUGGUCCUGUGGCAUCCAUGGUGGCUCUGCUCCUGGGAGCCACCUGUGUCUGUAAACUGGGGUCUUCCUCCGCCAGAUGGGGGUGGAAACAGGUUCUGAACAUCAGCACAGAUUUUGGCUGCAGUGCUGCUGCAUUGCCUGGACUGUGUCCUGCUGAAGGAGGAUUUGGAUGAACUGGCUGGGGUAGGGUACAGCCCUCGUGUGCAGCAGGAGGCCUCCUGCAGGAUCUGUGGCUCUGUGUGUCCCUGUGUGCUCCUCUGCUUCUCCUGGCAGCAGCUUCUGUGUCUGGGGCUUGUUUGCUUGAGCUGCUCCAUAUCUGGUGCUACAGGACUGUAUCACCCAGCCACUGCUUGCCCUCAUCCUCAUAGGGUCCCUCCAGACCGACUCUAGCUGUGUGCCCUGGCUGCCCUACUGCCACAGCAGAUUCUCAGGCUUUUAGGGAAAUAAAACCCAAGAGAGGAACUCGCAGCUUAGGGCUUUGUCAGCAGAGCAAGGCAGAACUUGCCUUGCAUUUGGGCUUCCCACCAUGACAUGGAGCAUGUGCUGAAGCUGGUGGCUCUUGCAGCAGCAGCAUGCACUGCUGCUGGCCCAGUGGUGGGUAGGAGCAGGCUUGGAGGAGCCCAGAGUUUUAAACCACUGAAGCUCUUCAAAGUCCUGAGGUGUCUUGUUUUCUUCCUGCAGAUUGUCGCCAGUAUACGAACAGGAGCUGUGAAGAAUGCCUGAAAAAUGUCACUGUGAGUAGCAGCAGUGAGGCUCCCAGCCUCUCACCAUGCUGAAAAAGUUUCCUUCCUGGAAGCAGGGCUGGUCCCCUGCCCUUGUCCCAGACAUGCUGCAAAUUCCACCCACCUAUGAGGGUGAGAGGGCAAUCCCUCUCUGGUGCUCUGGAAGGAGGUUGCUAGAAACUGGGUGGGUUUUGUUGUGUGCUUUUUGAUUAGAGUAAUGGAAUUGCUGAGCUGCUUCCUGAUGGAUGGACGAUGUGCUUGGAGAAGGGACUGAGUGGGCUGGGCUGGCUGGUCAAGUUCCCCUCCAGCAGCUGGGCCGUGGCACUGGCUGGGUGCAGGAUGUGUGCUGGUGUCCUGCCAGUCCCUGCUGCCUUAUCACAGAUGUGGGAAUCCAUGGGAUUAGAGGAUUUUAGAAAAGGUGGGAAAAAGAAAGGCCGCAGAGACAGUAAGGAUAGUGAAAUGCUUAAGCAGCAGAAAAGAGAUAUCAGCAGUAGCGAAGACAUGAGAAAUAGAACAAUAAAGCUAUGUAGUUUAGCUUUCAAAGUUGCAAAAAAGUAUAUUUUAGUAAAUAUUUAGAAGGUGAAAUAUGAAUAGGGCUCUGUGCUUUGUCUUUUGUAAACGAACCAUUGUAUGAGAGAAAAAGUUGCUAUUGUUUUAACCAAAGCUACGUGUGCUUCAUGUGGUUGGAUAGAACGACUGUCAAUAUGCUUUUGCUCUAUGUAAUUGGCUGAAACUAGGUCUGAAACUAUCUUAUAAUAUGUUGUAACAUUAAGUUUCCUUGGCCUUCUGUCUGGAUAGCGAGCUGCUCGCAUCGAUCCAUUGCCAUAGCCAUGUAAUGAGACUGAUGCUUCUUAAAUAAACAGCUCACGACGCUGUUCAGGUGUGGUCCCGUUCCGUUCGUGUCUGUAAAUAGUUGCCGGCGUCAACAGAUAUCAGCAAACUUGAACUUGAGUCAGAUCUUGCAGCUGAUGUAGCCAGAACCAGUUUGACCAAACCCCUACUGAAUGCUGGGGUUGGGGAUUGGAGCCACCAGGAGAGGAGCAUGCAAAGCUCCGCAGAUGGUCUGUAGUGGCUGGGCACAUGCACACCUCUCCUGCUCAUCAGCUUUGUGUGUGUAGAGCGCUUUGUCUCAAAGGCUUUCUUCUUAUCUCAAAAAUAAACGUAAAGGAUUUGUGUUAUUAAUGGUGGGAUUCUUAAGGCUGUCCUGGGCAGGGUCAGUAGUUGGCUCGAUGAUCCUUAUCAGUCCCUUCCAGCUCAGGACAGUCUACAAUUCUAAGCCAGGAGAAGGAUUCUCAGCAUCUUUACUUGCUCUAGAGCUCUGCACUCCCCUCUCCUGCCUGUCCUGGUGUGAUCUGUGCUCACACAGCUCUUACUCCUGAGCGCCCUGUUGCUGCUGGGUGCUGUCUCGUGAGCCAGCAGAGGUGGCCCUGUGCUGUGGCUGCCAAGCAAAGCGAGGGUCGCUGUCAGUGCAGCAGUAACGCUGUGCUGCCUGCUCCUGUGUCCUAGUGCCUGUGGUGUGCCAGCAGCAGGAGGUGCAUGGAGUACCCCGUCCGAAGAAUCCUCCCGCCGGCCGACCUGUGCGAGCUCCGCUCGGCGCGCUGGGGAGUCUGCUGGGGUGAGUGCCAGCCUGGCUGGUGGCUGUGACAGUGCUUGCUGCUGUGGGAGGUUCCCCUGCCUCCCAGCUCUCUGCCAGUGUAGCAGUGACAGGCUGAAGGCAGUCAAGGUUCUGCAAACUUCCUGAAGCGUGGGCGGGGAAGCAGAGUAUGAGCAGUUCCCUGCCUUCUGGCAAGUAGGACCUGUGAGGAUUUAGCUACUCCAAAAUACAUCCCUUAUGCUUUGGUGUGAUGGAGGCUCCAGACAUGGCUAGCGCCUGGGAACAGGAGUGGCAGGUUCUCUGUGGGCCUGGGCAGCCCUCCUGGUGUCUGAAUCCCAGAUCUCUCCUCUGCAGCUGUCAGGUCACUCUGUGCACUGCUUCUGGUUCUUCACGUGGCUGCUGUCCCAGUGAACUUUGAAGCCCUGAUCACUGCAAUGUCCGUGGUGGGAGGAACACUUCUGAUCAUGUUGGGGGUCUGCUGCUGCUGCUGCUGUUGUAAGAAAAAGAGCAAAAAGUAAGUAUUGGGGGGUGCCCUGAUUGUGGAGCAGCUCAGAUGCAGCCGUGUGCUGCUGCAGGACUGAGUGCUGAGUGCACUAAGGGGUUUUUCUGUCCACCAGGCCGGACAAGGAUGAUGAGAGAGCAGCCAGGGAGCGGGAGAAGAGGCGGGUGCGGCAGGAGGAGAGGUGAGUUUGUACCACAGGCCCUGAGGCUGCAGGAUGAUUUGGCUGCUGUCUGUGCCAUCAAAUGUGAUGCCAGGAGGCACGUGGGGCUCAGCACAUGCAGUCAGUGGCUGCUUCAGCCCUAGCUCACACACAAGCCUCAUUAGGAGUGUCACGCCGGGGUGACUCGUGGAUGUAGCAUCACAAGUUUUGUGUAUGCAGCUCCCUGAGGGCUGCUGAUGUGUGGGCUCUGGUGGUCCCCAGAGACUCCCUGAGGUGGCAGGCUGAGCAAACCUGCCAGCCUGGAGCUCCCUUGUUUGGGAAUAAGCAAGGAGCUCUGGCUCUUCUUGUUCCCUUUUGUACCACCAGUUACUGACUCAUGGCUUUUUUGUUUGCCUCUCGCAGGAGAGCGGAGAUGAAAUCACGGCAUGAUGAAAUCCGAAGAAAAUACGGUACAGUGCUGACAUGAGUGAUUCAAACUAAGCUUUAGAUGAAGCAGCCUCUGUAACUGUGCUCCUUGCCAUGGUUACAGCUGUAGAUGAGACCUGGCCAGCAGGGAAAAUAUGGUCCCUGCUUCUCUUGGC